UUUCCAGAGAUGGAUUGGUGCCUUCGGGAACUCUGACACAGGUGCUGCAUGGCUGUCGUCAGCUCGUGUCGUGAGAUGUUGGGUUAAGUCCCGCAACGAGCGCAACCCUUGUUUUUAGUUGCCUUUAUGGAACUCUAAAAAGACUGCUGGUUAUAAACCGGAGGAAGGUGGGGAUGACGUCAAAUCAUCAUGCCCCUUAUGUCUUGGGCUUCACGCAUGCUACAAUGGCCGGUACAGUGAGUUGCGACAUCGUAAGGUGGAGCGAAUCUCAAAAAGCCGGUCUCAGUUCGGAUUGGGGUCUGCAACUCGACCCCAUGAAGUCGGAAUCGCUAGUAAUCGCGGAACAGCAUGCCGCGGUGAAUACGUUCCCGGGCCUUGUACACACCGCCCGUCACACCAUGGGAGUUGGAUCUACCCGAAGAUUGUGAGCUAACUUCGGAGGCAGCAAGCCACGGUAGGUUCAGCGACUGGGGUGAAGUCGUAACAAGGUAGCCGUAGGGGAACCUGCGGCUGGAUCACCUCCUU
rnacentral:rRNA from 13 species